GCCAGUGUAGUGGUUUGAGCAUUAGACUAUGACUCUGGAGACUAGGGUUCAAUCCCCAGCUUGGCC